UCUACCGCCGGGCGGCGCCCCGCUCCGAGGACGGAAAGCUGAGCUCCAGCCAGCGGGGCCCUGAAGGUCCCCGCGCAAAGAGCCAGCGUGGCCUGGGGCAGAGGGCUUCGGCCACAUCCUGGACUAGGGCUCUGGGACGGAGGUCAGGCCGGGAGGACGCGCCCCGCAGCGAGGGAGCGCGAGCAGAGUUUCGGCCUUGCUGUUUGCAGCCACCAUGAACUGCGGCCCCACUAUGAUACCCUGUCUUGGAGCCAACUGAGUAUGGACUGAAACCUCCAAAAACUGCCCCGAGUGUCUCUGGGAAGCGUGAGGACUCCGGUGGACGCAGAACUCCAGCUGGCAGUGACCCAGAUCGAGGGCAAAGCCAGCGCCGGUGACCGGGGACAUUGCGGGGCCUGCACCCCGCGUGGCAGUCAGCGGGGUCAGAGUGGCCCAGCCCCUCUGGACAGCAGACACCACGCGUUUUAAAUGCUCACACCUGACGAAGCAGUGCCUGCAGAAACUGCCACUGUGACACAGGAAUAGUGCCGGAUGCCAGCGGGCACCUGACACACACAUGGCUCUGCACGCGUGUCUCCCCGGCACCUCACACUUGCGUGCACUUGCACGCUCGGGACGUGGAUCUGUGAUCGCUUCGUCAGCUUCACUCCAUAACUGCCCAUUUGUUCUCUACCAUUUCCUCACUUGAAGAAGGUUACACAGAUAAAGCAACGUGUAAACAUCGUGAGCCUGGCCUUCCCUUAUCUGAGGUGUUGUACCUAUUGUGUGCCUAUUUGAUUUCUGAGUAGGAUUCUAAGCUGUGUGUAUGCACCAUCGUUUGUUGAUUGAACCCAGAACCACAGAGUACAUCUGUAGCACUGUUUCACUAUGUAACAUAGGGCAAUUUGAUAGUUUUCACUUCUGAGUAUUGCAAAGUUGCUAUGAACAGUCCUACCCAGGUUUUUGUAUGAAAAUAACUGUUCAUUUGCCUGAGAUAAAGGUUGGACAGUGCUUUCCAGAGUGGCUGUACUACGGUAGCAAUUAAGGCGUGACUGCACUUCUCAUUUUUGCUAUUUUGAUGUUUCAUUGUGGUUUUAACUUGUGUUUCUCUAAUGGCUAAUGGUGCAGAACGUUGUUACCUGAUUAUUAGCCACCUGCAAAUUCUCUUUAUUGAGGCAGCUCUUUAUAUCUUUGGCUCAUUUUCUUUUGCUUAUUUUCUAACUGAAGCCAUAUAUUUUUAACUUUGAGUUUUGACUAUCCUUUAUACAUUUUAAAUGAGUCCUCUGUCAGAUCUGUAGUAUACGCUCCCAACCCAUAGUUUGUUUUAUUUAUUGUCCUAUCAGAGUGUCUCACAGAAAAAGUUUUUAAAUUGAAGUCAGCUGGGUGUAGUGACACACACCUGUAAUCCCAGCACUUGGGAGGCUGAGGCAGGAGGAGCUCUGUGAGUUCAAUGCCAACCUGAACUACAUAGUGAGACCUGUCUCAAAAAACUGAAGAUAGAAAAUUGAUGAUGCCUAGUUUACUUUUGCUAUUUAACAACUCAUUUGAAACUCUAAAUCCUAAAUAUUUUUUUCUACAAGUUUAAAUUUUACACAUUAAUCCAUGAUCCAUUUUUAGUUAACUGUGGCGCAAUGUAUAAGUUUUAUGUCAAGGUUCAUUUUUUGCCCAUGAAUAUUAGCUAACUGCCGUCUUGCAAUUCAUUGAAAAUACUGUAUUUCAUCGAAUUGCUGUCAUGCCUUUGUGAAAUAUCAAUUUUUGGGCUAGGAUGCAGUUCAGUUUGGUAGAGUACUUCCCUACAUUGCACAGGGACCUCAGUUUAAUUCUCAGUGCCAACAAAAGGUCAAUUGUCCAUGUCGGUAUGGGUCAGUGUCUGCAUUCUCUAUUCUGUUCCACUGAUUUAAAUAUCUGUUCCUAUGCUAAUAACCACAAAAUGUUGAUGGCUAUAGAUUAAUAAUAUUGUAGACUAGGUUAUAGUGACUGUCUCUACUGUAUUUUUUUGCGAAAUUAUUAUACAAAGAAGAGUUCCUUCUCUUUUCCAUAUAAGAUUUAAAAUAGUCAUAAAUAAUCGUUAUAGUUAGAAAAACCAAUGCCUUAAAAAUUCUUCAAACAAUAAAAACUAGUUGAUUUUG